GGCCGCCUGGCGAAAUGGCAUCGCGUCUGACUACGAAGGGAUUCAAAAUUCCUGGUUAUCAGGAGAUUGCAGGUUCGACCCCUGCGGUGGUCA
rfam:Hydnomerulius pinastri MD-312 unplaced genomic scaffold scaffold_39, whole genome shotgun sequence.